GUACGGGGGGGGCAAGCGUUAUCCGGAAUUAUUGGGCGUAAAGAGCUCGUAGGCGGUUUGUCGCGUCUGCCGUGAAAGUCCGGGGCUCAACUCCGGAUCUGCGGUGGGUACGGGCAGACUAGAGUGAUGUAGGGGAGACUGGAAUUCCUGGUGUAGCGGUGAAAUGCGUAGAUAUCGGGAGGAACACCAGUGGCGAAGGCGGCUACCUGGCCCAUUCUUGACGCUGAGGCGCGAAAGCUAGGGGAGCGAACGGG
rnacentral:rRNA from 1 species